AGCAACGCCGCGUGAGUGAAGAAGGUUUUCGGCAUCGUAAAGCUCUGUUGUAAGAGAAGAACGUGUGUGAGAGUGGAAAGUUCACACAGUGACGGUAACUUACCAAAAAGGGACGGCUAACUACGUGCCAGCAGCCGCGGUAAUACGUAGGUCCCGAGCGUUGUCCGGAUUUAUUGGGCGUAAAGCGAGCGCAGGCGGUUUAAUAAGUCUGAAGUUAAAGGCAGUGGCUUAACCAUUGUUCGCUUUGGAAACUGUUAAACUUGAGUGCAGAAGGGGAGAGUGGAAUUCCAUGUGUAGCGGUGAAAUGCGUAGAUAUAUGGAGGAA
rnacentral:rRNA from 1 species